GGAGAAACAGCUCAGUGGUAGAGCAUGUGCUUAUUAGCAUGCAUGAGGUCCUAAGUUCAAUCCCCAGUGUCUUCA
rnacentral:tRNA from 1 species